AUUGAACGCUGGCGGCAUGCCUUACACAUGCAAGUCGAACGGCAGCACGGGUGCUUGCACCUGGUGGCGAGUGGCGAACGGGUGAGUAAUACAUCGGAACAUGUCCUGUAGUGGGGGAUAGCCCGGCGAAAGCCGGAUUAAUACCGCAUACGAUCUACGGCUGAGAGCGGGGGACCUUCGGGCCUCGCGCUAUCGGGUUGGCCGAUGGCUGAUUAGCUAGUUGGUGGGGUAAACGCCUACCAAGGCGACGAUCAGUAGCUGGUCUGAGAGGACGACCAGCCACACUGGGACUGAGACACGGCCCAGACUCCUACGGGAGGCAGCAGUGGGGAAUUUUGGACAAUGGGCGAAAGCCUGAUCCAGCAAUGCCGCGUGUGUGAAGAAGGCCUUCGGGUUGUAAAGCACUUUUGUCCGGAAAGAAAUCCUUGGCCCUAAUACGGUCGGGGGAUGACGGUACCGGAAGAAUAAGCACCGGCUAACUACGUG
rnacentral:rRNA from 1 species